rnacentral:rRNA from 1 species
AGAACGAACGCUGGCGGCAGGCCUAACACAUGCAAGUCGAACGGGUAUCUUCGGAUACUAGUGGCGGACGGGUGAGUAACGCGUGGGAACGUACCCUUUGGUUCGGAAUAGCCUCGGGAAACUGGGAGUAAUACCGGAUACGGUCGAGAGACGAAAGAUUUAUCGCCGAAGGAUCGGCCCGCGUUGGAUUAGGUAGUUGGUGGGGUAAUGGCCUACCAAGCCGACGAUCCAUAGCUGGUUUGAGAGGAUGAUCAGCCACACUGGGACUGAGACACGGCCCAGACUCCUACGGGAGGCAGCAGUGGGGAAUCUUAGACAAUGGGGGAAACCCUGAUCUAGCCAUGCCGCGUGAUCGAUGAAGGCCUUAGGGUUGUAAAGAUCUUUCAGUGGGGAAGAUAAUGACGGUACCCACAGAAGAAGCCCCGGCUAACUCCGCGCCAGCCAGCCGC